AUAAAUUCUUCUUCUUCUUCAUAUUAAGCUUUUCCCAUUUCUAUAUAGGGUCGCUGUUUUUGAUGAGCUUUCUCCAUUGCGCUCUGUCCCUUCUGAGACCCAUUGAUCUCAGAUCUUCAUACAAGCACAAGAUAUUGCCUUGUGCCAUCGUCACAAGAUAUUGUGACGAUGGCACAAUAUGCCAUCGUCAUAUCGUUCAAUAUGACGAUAGCAUAUUGUGCCAUCUUCUUUUGCAUAUUGUGCAAGAGAAGAUGGCACAAUAUCUUGCCAUCUUCUCUUGGGUCAUCCUCUUUUCCUUUUUCCUUCAAUUUUCAUGUUCAUAACUCUUUUGCCAGUGUAAUCCUCAUCUCUUCUCAUUAUAUGGCCAAAUCAUC
rnacentral:lncRNA from 1 species